UCCUUCCUUAAGGUGGUAUGGAACAUCUUUUGAUAUGAAUAUGGAUUAAAGUAUAUUAUAAUUUAAAUGCUUUCACAGGUUUAGAAUUUUCAAAUUUUAAAAUAUUUAACAAAAAAUCGGUCGAUGCAGAUUUGAAUAUGAUUUAGAUUAAACGUCGAUGUGCUUUGUAGAUAAAAUGAGUUUUGUACGUUUUCACAUUAAUCUAUAAGAAAUACAGACAGAUAAAACACAACACAACAUCUCUUACAAAAUCUCGCAUGCAACAAGUUGGUAUCAUUUGAAGUAUAACAUAAAUAUAUAGAUAAACACAUACAAUUACAUAAAGUUUCACACACAAUACACACAGCAAAUAUUCUCUGAUAAUUGAAGGAAAUUAUAUUAUAUAAAGAAAACAUUUAAUCAAUAUUACUUACAGGAAAGAGACAAUCCCAGAAAUACCAUUUUUAAAAUUUUUUAGUAGUGAACAUUUUUGUUUGAAUUUGUAAUAAGUUUGUAAAUAGGACAUGUAGCAAUAUAGAGUGACAAAGAAAAAUUGAAUAACGUUUAUAACAACUUACUUGUUUCGCUAAAAGGCACGAUUUGAAGUCACGGAGGAUUAAAUAUACUCUUAAAUAUAACAUUGAAAUACUAUAAAUUUCUAUUAUUUCAUCAACAGAAUUCAUUCUUUCGACAGUGAAAGAAAUAGUAUUGAUAUAAACUUAACUUUUUGGCAUUUCAUUGAUUUACGAUGAACAUGACCUAUACUUAACACUUGACCAGUAUCGUAACUUAGGGAUUAGUUAAGAUAAGGAAUUUAUAUCUACAUAUUAAAGAACGACAUGAGAUCAAAGUGGGGUUUAGCUCUUCUUUUUGGAUUUUUCCCGAUUAUAUGCACUGUCCCGCUGUCAGACAAAGAACUUGAGGAUUUCAGAGCCAAAUGUCAUAGUUAUUCACACCAUAGUGCACAGACUAUUUUGGAGGGCGUGAUUUCAACAGUAAACAAUAUACUAAAUA